AUCUCGCUUCUCUGUUCUUAUAUUUUUUGUUUUGUGUUUCGAAACGCAGCCCGUUUUGCUACAUCUCCAAAUCAUUUCUCUGGCCUUGGGCCAUGCUUUCGUAUAUGUGGCGCGUCUUGCGUUUAGGGUUACAUGUGCCUCUUGGAUAUUGCCGAUCUACGCCAUCCUCUUUCCAUCGUCUCCGACUUCAGCUCCUCUCUGUAACGUCUUGCUUACUGACUUCGACUUCGAUAACCCUUCCCUUCACAGCCAACGUUACGCUUAGCAAUAAUGUCAAGCAAUAAAAGUGUCCUUCAAUGGAUCUUUCAAUCUACGUACUGACUUCGCUUGACUAUUCAGUAUAAACAUGUACCUCUUGAGAGCAUUUGAAGGAUGCAAGCUGUCUAGAAAAAGUGGUAGACAAACUCAUUCAAUUUUGGGAAGCCUGGAAUGUGAAGAAAAGGGGCUAACUGAUGGGCAUUGAUAUGCUUCUUAUUGAUUCAAAGAUCCAGGUGCAAGAUUCCUUCUUUUGAAUCAGCCUUUCAUUUAUAAAUUGGUGGACAUGACAUUGGCCUCACAAAAGUUUCUGUUGGUCUCACAAAACUAUCAUCCUCUAGAAGAAUUGAAGCCUGGCAAAAGAGUCCAGGAGACAAAACUCUCUCCUGCUGAAGUAGCUAGGACUGCGGUUGAGGUUUGUACCUGAGAAAUAAUAUGAGACCACUACUGUCAGAGUUUCGUAUGAACUAGAAUAUUGUUUUGUUUCGCUAUGAGAUGCAUUAGCUGAAGAGGAAGGCGGCAGGUCUAAGAAGACCACAAAGACUAGGUGGCCUACACCAGGCGUGAAAAAGUUUUAUCAUUCUCACUGUUAUUUUUUGCAUUUGAGCUUUUUUAUGUUUUGAGUUUCAUGAAUAAGUACACGUUGAACAAUUUUCUGAACCAUAUUUUGGGUUGUGUUGGUUUAGCGAAUUUUAUAGGAAUUUAGGAUAUAUCAGCA